CCGCAGCGAGCCCGGUGGCCGCGCCCCGCCCGCCGGUGCCCGCGUCUCGUGCCGCGAGACCUCGCGGACGCCCCUGGCCGCGAGCCGCACAUGGACAGGCCUCUGGUUCCCAGAUCAUCUUCUCAGACAUAUUGCAGUGGGAUCUGUUAACAAGGAAUGAUAGAUUCGCAGGGUAGUUUGGGUUUGCAAAGUGUUUGUUGCUCAAGAUCAAAGCUCCAGAGCCCGUACAUCAAUAGCUUGGUAUUCACAAAUUUGCAAAGUACCUAUUCGCGUUAGCAGCGAGCCCGCUGCCCGAGCGGCAGCGCCGGUGCCCGCUCCUCUCGAUCUCCGGUGGCCCAGCGACCGGCCACGCCGAUCUCCGGUGGCCGAGCGCCCGCGCCGCGCCCGCGCCGAUCUACGGUGGAGGUUCGCCACAAGCCUCUACUUCUCCCUGUUCUUGUAUGUCUAGAUCAUCUGCCUCGCCACUUGUAAGCAGCUUCUCUCUGUUUUUUUUUCUGCGCCCAUAAUAUUCAGAUAGCUGCAAUUUUUUUGUAUGUACCAAAUGGAACCUGUAAUUAGCUUUCAUCUUAAAACUUGGAAGCAUUUUGAUGAAUGCAGAGGUUCCAGUGUCAACAAACAGGCUUUUGUGCAAUUCAGCUGUAUCUUAAAACAGAAGCAUUUUUAAUGUACUCUGUUUAUAGAGCUUAGAUGGCAUGUUUGCUCAAUGUGAAUGCCAUUUAGGACAUUGA